rnacentral:rRNA from 1 species
AAGUAGUAAUAAAAAUUAAACUAAUUUAUUAUGGCGGCAUAAUAUCUUUUCAGAGGAACUUGUUUCAUAAUCGAUAACCCACGAUAACUUUUACUUUUUUAAUCAAUUUAUAUACCGCCAUUAUAAAAAUUUAUUAAAAAAUUUAUUUAAAAUAAAAUAUAAAAUUUUAGGUCAAGGUGUAAUUUAUAUUUAAGUGUAAAUGAGUUACUUUAAAAGAAAUUUAAGGAUCAUAAUACAAAAAUUUUAUGUGAAAAAGAAUUUGAUUGUAAUAAAAUAAUAAUAAUCUUACAUGAAAUAGAAAAUAAAUGUGU